GCACAGGUUCGAUCCAUGGCCUGCCUUUUUUUUUUUUUUCUCUGCGUUUUCUUCUUGAAUUAACAAUGAAUUGAACGGCCACGCGUCAAUUUCUCCCAGCCCUAUCCCCACACCAUGCCACGACAUGAAAGUGAAUUUAAACCCCCAUUGCCAUAUCAUCUGCAGUUCCGCACGCGUCAAUUUUGAAGAGAUGGAUGCCGGCAGUAGAACAGGCCGCCAGACGAUGGUGGUUUUUAAGGGUUUCGCAAUCGAUCCUCAUGAAAGCCUCCUACCUAGGCUGUUUAAUUGCUGAUUUGAAACACUAUUGCAUUCACCCAGAUCCGGGUAUGGUCAAUCGGGUGAAAACCAGUUGUAGCGAUUACCUACUUGGUAUUUGAACCGCAUUUUUGAAGGAGAAGUCAACAUGUUUUAUAGCAUUUAGUGCCACUCAAAAGACCAGGAGUUUUAUAGCGUUUUCAUGUUGUCUUCUAAUUGAUCAACAUCAUAUAGAGGAAUUACUUAAUGAUGUUGAUCAAUUACAAGACAGCAAGGUAAUUCUGAUGUGUUAUGAUUGCUGAGUUUCAUAAUUGUUACGAACAACAGCAGUCUAGGGAAUAAUCGAUGGAAUGGUAGUCUUCUCAGUCAGCAGGAGGAGAAUCGAUGGAAUGGUGGUUUUCUGUCAGCAGGAGGAUAAUCGAUGGAAUGGUGGUCUUCUGACUGGCAGGCUUUGAAUUAAAAAUUUUGAAAUGGAGAAUGUAAUUAGUGGGAUUUUGAAUAUGACAAAGAUCAAAGACGAUAAGGCUAUGAUGAUCGGAUGGGGCUCUCACAUUGGCAUUUUUCGGCUGUCCCUGAACCUAAUCCGACGACUAAUGUUGAUUGGAUGAGUAGGUAACGUCCGGUGAGUUUCUGGCGAAGAUUCGGUGAACGGGCAGGCGAAGAUUCUGGCGAAAAAUUUCAUUUAUAGUAAAAUUACCCAAUCGAAUUCGUUAUUUUUGUUUUUUUUUCAAUAUUAAUUGUUUUUUUUUGUUGGUUUAUUUCAUGGCUAUUGAUAAUAUUCUUGGCUGGACUCUGCUUCAGAUCCUAACGGUCCGUUGUUUCACAUGGGUUGGUAUCAUUUAUUCUAUCCACACAACCCGUAUGCACCGGUUUGGGGGAACAUGUCAUGAGGUCACUCCGUGGCGAAAGACUUGAUCAACUGGUUUGAGCUUCCUGUUGCUGUCAGCCCAUCCGAAUGGUUGAUUUUUUUUCAACUAAACUUCCUUGUAUUUAGCUCAUGUUUUGCAUACAAUAACACGGAUUACGGUGAUCUAAACGUGAACAACCGAUACAUCAUGAUAUCAGGUCGCGAUACCAGGGUGCUGGAUUUGGGUUCCGACAAGACGGGUUCUAUGAUGACGAAUAAGCCUUUAGAGAGAUUGGCUGUAAGCAGAGAAGUGUUUGAUAUGCAACUAUGUUGUUUUUUUAUUUAGAAAUUAGAAUGAAUGUUAUAUUUAUGUUGGUAAUUUGUUCUUUCUUGAAGAAAAUGUAAUUUCUUCUAGCAACUAAAUGAAAGUUGUAAUGAAGAAUUGAUGAGAUAAGAAAAAUACGCAAGUUAGCAUUAUAGUAA